ensembl:misc_RNA 7SK 7SK RNA
GGAUGUGAGGUUGCUCUGGCUGCAGCAUCUGUCACCCCCCUGAUAGCUAGGGUUGAUCCCACUGACCUGGCUAGCUAGUCUGAUGUCCCCUUUCUCCCGCACUGCUCCAUGUUGAAGAGGACAACCUUCCCCCAGAUAGAGGGGGCCGGUCUUCAGUCAAGGGCGUCCCCCUGCUAGAGCCACCUGACAGACUCUCAGGAAUACAAGUAUUUCAAGACAGACCAUUUAGAUGCCCUUGUUACAUCAAGGCUGUAGCUGUUG